rnacentral:rRNA from 1 species
UACGUAGGGGGCAAGCGUUGUCCGGAAUCAUUGGGCGUAAAGCGCGCGUAGGCGGCCCGGUAAGUCCGCUCUGAAAGUCCAGGGCUCAACCCUGGAAAGCGGGUGGAUACUGCCGGGCUAGAGUCCGGAAGAGGCGAGUGGAAUUCCUGGUGUAGCGGUGGAAUGCGCAGAUAUCAGGAGGAACACCGAUAGCGAAGGCAGCUCGCUGGGACGGUACUGACGCUGAGGUGCGAAAGCGUGGGGAGCGAACAGG